rnacentral:RNase_P_RNA from 2 species
AAAGGUAAAACAUACGGCAGCGGAAGUAAUUCUGAGGAAAGUCCGGGCUUCACAAGGGACGGUAACUGCUAACGGCAGCCGAGAGUAAUCUCAGGGAUAGUGCAACAGAAAUAGACAGCCUGCUUUUGCAGGUGAUGAUGGAAAGGUGCGGUAAGAGCGCACCAGCGCCUUUGGUAACUUAGGCGGCUCUGUAAACCCUACCGGAAGCAACGCCCAUAUGAGAGCUAUGUGUCCCCUUGCACGCUCUUGGAGGCGGCGCGAGCUUUACGGCAACGUAAAGCCAAGAUAGAUUGUCGUUUAAUACAGAACCCGGCUUACGGUUUACCUUUUAGA